GACGGACGCUGGCGGCGUGCUUAACACAUGCAAGUCGAACGGAAAGGCCCUGCUUUUGUGGGGUGCUCGAGUGGCGAACGGGUGAGUAACACGUGAGUAACCUGCCCUUGACUUUGGGAUAACUUCAGGAAACUGGGGCUAAUACCGGAUAGGAGCUCCUGCUGCAUGGUGGGGGUUGGAAAGUUUCGGCGGUUGGGGAUGGACUCGCGGCUUAUCAGCUUGUUGGUGGGGUAGUGGCUUACCAAGGCUUUGACGGGUAGCCGGCCUGAGAGGGUGACCGGCCACAUUUGGACUGAGAUACGGCCCAGACUCCUACGGGAGGCAGCAGUGGGGAAUAUUGCACAAUGGGCGGAAGCCUGAUGCAGCAACGCCGCGUGCGGGAUGACGGCCUUCGGGUUGUAAACCGCUUUCGCCUGUGACGAAGCGUGAGUGACGGUAAUGGGUAAAGAAGCACCGGCUAACUACGUG
rnacentral:rRNA from 1 species